CGGGCCGUGUCUCAGUCCCAGAGUUUGAUCAUGGCUCAGGACGAACGCUGGCGGCGUGCUUAACACAUGCAAGUCGAACGGUGACGAUCAAGCUUGCUUGGUCUGAUCAGUGGCGAACGGGUGAGUAACACGUGAGUAACCUGCCCCAGACUCUGGGAUAACCCCGGGAAACCGGAGCUAAUACCGGAUAUGACACCAACGGGCAUCCGUAUGGUGUGGAAAGUUUUUCGGUCUGGGAUGGGCUCGCGGCCUAUCAGCUUGUUGGUGAAGUAGUGGCUCACCAAGGCGACGACGGGUAGCCGGCCUGAGAGGGCGACCGGCCACACUGGGACUGAGACACGGCCCAGACUCCUACGGGAGGCAGCAGUGGGGAAUAUUGCACAAUGGGCGAAAGCCUGAUGCAGCGACGCCGCGUGAGGGAUGACGGCCUUCGGGUUGUAAACCUCUUUUAGUAGGGAAGAAGCGAAAGUGACGGUACCUGCAGAAAAAGCACCGGCUAACUACGUGCCAGCAGCCGCGGUAAUAAGU
rnacentral:rRNA from 1 species